rnacentral:tRNA from 1 species
GGAGAUUUGGCUUAAUACAAGCACUUGAUUUGCAUUCAAUGGAUGUAAGAUAAAAUCUUGCAAUCCUUG